CUUUGACCAUGUCAGACCAGCCAGCCAUUGAAACCAUUUCUUCGGUUCCACUUCCACCACGGUGGCAAAAUUCGUGGCGAUACCCAAAACUGGAGGGAGUCCGGAAUCUCGAUCCUCUUCUCCUGCGUGGCACUCUCCUUUAUUGACACGUGUCUUACCCCACUAUGCGGCUCCUCUCCCUAUUAAUCGUGAUGUUUCUAAAUGUCACAAAUUAAUAUAGACCAUCGAGCAACUCCAAUUACCUAAAUUCUCGCCUUCUCUCUCUCUCUCUCUCUCUUGUGGGUUUCACAGAACUCCAUCCAUCUUAAACCCUCCCUGAGGUUUCCAAAUUAUCGAGAGACUCCAUUAACAAAACCUGCAAUCAAUUUCUCUAAGUGGCAGAAAUUAGGCGGUUUGGUCCUUUCAAUCCUCUUUUGAUAAUUCUUCAUCGUAUCCGAAGCCUCAACCAUUCAAAUGAGUCCAGAAUUUACCAGUUUAUCUGUCCAAUUCAUUGUCGACGAUCGAAUUUGUAAUAAUCCCCCAAUUCUUAGCCGACGAUUUAAUUUCACUGACUUCGGUGGUGCUGGUGAUGGCGUAACUGUGAACGCCAUGGCAUUCGGCAUUGGCUUACGGCGCCAUUUACUCUUACCAGUCUCACAUGACUAUGUUUCUCGCUGAAGAUGCUGUUAUACUCGAAAUUGAGUUAACGAAGGUCUGCUCUGAUCGAACCAUUGGCAGUGUGGGAGUAUCAAAAAUACAGUGAAGAGUCUUCAUGUGAGGAUCUCAGGAGAGGCAGUCUGGGUCAAGACCGCCCCUGGGAGAGAGGGGUGUGUUCGACACAAACUACAAGAAUAUGACAUUUGACAACGUCUAGGUGGGAGCGGUCACAAAACCCGACUAUAAUGAGCAUCCAGAUGUGGGGUAUGAUCCAAGGCCCUUCCAGUUCUUGAGGAAACAAGCUUCACCAGGAUCCAUGGCCAGAGAGCCUGUCCCAGUUUCUAAUCCAUCACAGUGAAGAAAUACCUGUGAGAAACAUAACAUUCUGGGACAUGUUCAGUGUCGAUAACAUACAAGAAGAAACAUAUCUUCCUUUUUGCUUUCGUUCAAGGAUGGGUGAUCGUAAAUAUCUUCCCUGCACCAUGUGAAAACCUUGACCAAUAUGAUGAAGAACAACGGCUGGUUUAGCACUUGAAAUCCCUGAACAUUAAUGACAGAUUAUGAUUCCUGAAGAGGGUUUGUAGAUUAAACUCUGGGUACUUCAGUGUUACCGGGUUUAUGUAGUGAUGGCUUCAUCUUGUGUCUAUCGAUACAGUUUUGCCUGCA